UACGUAGGGGGCGAGCGUUGUCCGGAUUUAUUGGGCGUAAAGAGCGUGUAGGCGGCCUGGUAGGUCUCGCGUCAAAACCUGAGGCUCAACCUCAGUUCGCGUGGGAAACCACCUAGCUAGAGUCCGGAAGAGGAGAACGGAAUUCCCAGUGUAGCGGUGAAAUGCGCAGAUAUUGGGAAGAACACCAGUGGCGAAGGCGGUUCUCUGGGACGGUACUGACGCUGAGACGCGAAAGCGUGGGGAGCGAACAGG
rnacentral:rRNA from 1 species